rnacentral:rRNA from 1 species
GGGGAAUUUUCCGCAAUGGGCGAAAGCCUGACCGGAGCAAUACCGCGUGAGGGAGGAAGGCUCUUGGGUUGUAAACCUCUUUUCUCAGGGAAUAAGAANCUGAAGGUACCUGAGGAAUCAGCAUCGGCUAACUCCGUGCCAGCAGCCGCGGUAAUACGGAGGAUGCAAGCGUUAUCCGGAAUGAUUGGGCGUAAAGCGUCCGCAGGUGGUUUAUCAAGUCUGCUGUCAAAGAGUUUGGCUCAACCAAAUAAAGGCAGUGGAAACUGACAGACUGGAGUGCGGUAAGGGCAGAGGGAAUUCCUGGUGUAGCGGUGAAAUGCGUAGAGAUCAGGAAGAACACCGGUGGCGAAAGCGCUCUGCUGGGCCGUAACUGACACUGAGGGACGAAAGCUAGGGGAGCGAAUGGGAUUAGAUACCCCAGUAGUC